UUAAGUUCAGCGGGUAUUCCUACCUGAUCCGAGGUCAACCUUUGUAAAAGUAGGGGGUUUCACGGCCGGCACCCGCCACACGACCAGAGCGAGGAGAUACUACUGCACUCGGUGUGAUAGCGAGCCCGCCACUGCUUUUCGGGGGUGCGGACGGCCGCAGGGCCCCAACACAAGCCCGGGGCUUGAUGGUUGAAAUGACG
rnacentral:misc_RNA from 1 species